rnacentral:rRNA from 1 species
UACGGAGGAUGCAAGCGUUAUCCGGAAUGAUUGGGCGUAAAGCGUCCGCAGGUGGCUAUGUAAGUCUGCUGUUAAAGAGUGAGGCUCAACCUCAUAAGAGCAGUGGAAACUACAUGGCUAGAGUGCGUUCGGGGCAGAGGGAGUUCCUGGUGUAGCGGUGAAAUGCGUAGAGAUCCGGAGGAACACCAGUGGCGAAGGCGGCUGCCUGGGCCUGGCCUGACGCUGAGGCGCGAAAGCGUGGGGAGCGAUCCGG